UGGGGAAUUUUGCACAAUGGGGGAAACCCUGAUGCAGCGACGCCGCGUGAUUUAGAAGGCCUUCGGGUUGUAAAAAUCUUUUCUAUGGGAAGAAAAUGACAGUACCAUAGGAAUAAGGACCGACUAAUUACGUGCCAGCAGCCGCGGUAAUACGUAAGGUCCGAGCGUUGUCCGGAAUCAUUGGGCGUAAAGGGUACGUAGGCGGGUAAGCAAGUUAGAAGUGAAAUCCUAUAGCUCAACUAUAGUAAGCUUUUAAAACUGCUCAUCUUGAGGUAUGGAAGGGAAAGUGGAAUUCCUAGUGUAGCGGUGAAAUGCGCAGAUAUUAGGAGGAAUACCGGUGGCGAAGGCGACUUUCUGGCCAUAACCUGACGCUGAGGUACGAAAGCGUGGGUAGCAAACAGG
rnacentral:rRNA from 1 species